rnacentral:rRNA from 1 species
GACGAACGCUGGCGGCGCGCCUAACACAUGCAAGUCGAACGAGCGAGCGAGAGCUUGCUUUCUCAAGCGAGUGGCGAACGGGUGAGUAACGCGUGAGGAACCUGCCUCAAAGAGGGGGACAACAGUUGGAAACGACUGCUAAUACCGCAUAAGCCCACGACCCGGCAUCGGGUAGAGGGAAAAGGAGCAAUCCGCUUUGAGAUGGCCUCGCGUCCGAUUAGCUAGUUGGUGAGGUAACGGCCCACCAAGGCGACGAUCGGUAGCCGGACUGAGAGGUUGAACGGCCACAUUGGGACUGAGACACGGCCCAGACUCCUACGGGAGGCAGCAGUGGGGAAUAUUGCACAAUGGGGGAAACCCUGAUGCAGCGACGCCGCGUGGAGGAAGAAGGUCUUCGGAUUGUAAACUCCUGUUGUUGAGGAAGAUAAUGACGGUACUCAACAAGGAAGAGACGGCUAACUACGUG